UACAGAGGGUGCAAGCGUUGUUCGGAAUUACUGGGCGUAAAGCGCGUGUAGGCGGCGUCGUUAGUCGGAUGUGAAAGCCCUCGGCUCAACCGAGGAAGUGCAUCCGAUACUGCGAUGCUUGAGUGUUGGAGGGGGUGGCGGAAUUCCCGGUGUAGAGGUGAAAUUCGUAGAUAUCGGGAGGAACACCAGUGGCGAAGGCGGCUACCUGGCCCAUUCUUGACGCUGAGGCGCGAAAGCUAGGGGAGCAAACGGG
rnacentral:rRNA from 1 species